rnacentral:lncRNA from 1 species
CAGCCAACUGCUUUUAAUGUUGCCCCAUGUUUUUCUCCAUCACAUUUAUUAAUACUCAGCAUAGAAAUCAGAUUUUAAAAAAAGAAAAAAUAAUAAUAAUCAAACUAGCAACAGGGGAGAAAAUAAUUCAGUGGGCUAGGCUAGCCACUUUACACUUUCUUUUCUCUUGUGCUGAACAACCACUUUUGCUUGCUUAUAAAAGCUUUUGUGUUGUAAUUAACUUUCUAGCCAACCUGUCUUUCUGUCAAGCAUCAAGAAAGUUUUUUCGCUUCAGUAUUUCACAGCAAUCUUUCAUUACUCUGUGCCUGUGGAGGAAAACCCUCAGCAGCUUUUCUCAGAUCAAUCAAUGGCUUCUCUUGUUCUUCUUCUAUCCGAACUAAUUAGACAUGAAAAUCCAGACCACCUAAUUUCAUUGCCCGCUUUUUCUUCUAAAACUACUACUGCCACGGCUAAUCCCAGGAACCCAAGUGCUGCAGCAUCCACCGCCAAAAGGGAUGUCAAGAUUUCCUCCAGUACAAGGUCAAGCGAUUACGAGGCAGAGCAAAUGCAAGAUGAUCUGCCAAGAGUUUGUGUGGACCUGGUUUAGGGUUUUUUUUUUUUUGUUUUCCAAUGUCAAUGUAGUGCAAUUUUAAUACCAACAGAUGUAGAUGUGUUUAUGCAAAUCAUUUCAAAUCUAAAAUUGAAUUAUGUGAUAUAUAUUUAUUAAUUUAUACCCCGCUUUUAUAUUUACCGAGAGUGACAGCGCAUAAAAAAUUACCAAUUAUUUUUCCUUCAAGUUUCACUAGCCGGGAUUUUGACGUCUGAUGGUGGGCCGUAACACAUGAAUUUCUAGCCCACAACGCUUUGAACCUUCAAAAUAUGACACAGCGGAUUCUCCAGGCAUUGCUGGGACUGGAUAAUGUCAGCCCAAAAACAAAAGGCCUUCUUGGGCUUACGUGAAGAAUAAGGCUUAUUAGGAAUGCAAAUUAAUGUAUUUUUGGCAGGAAGGCAAUCUCGGUCGGACGCCGGGCUGG